GAUUCAACAGAGAAAACAGAUGACCCCCACAGGCUUUUGAAAGAGCCGAAGUCCCCGCACUCCAUGCUCAUAUAGAGAAUGAUCAUAGAAGACAACAACGAAAGGUCUGUAACUGAUUGUUUGCAAGGUGCAAGAUUCGCAGGUGCAGGUGCCCUACCAGGACAGGUAUGCACUGAUCCGUCAGGAGAUUGUUGGUCAGAUAAAGCAGCUGCAGCAUACUCAAACUCUCCUCUCCAGUGCAGGCGGAUGGUAAAGACUCCAGACUAUUUGCAGAUGCAUUCAAGUAUCUGAGACUGACAGAACACACACAGAUCAUCACCUCCUUUAAGUUUAUUUGCUGCCUUCCUAUAUAGAAACCAUCAUGUCACCUCAGUAUGGAAUGCUGCCAUUCUAAGCUUCCAAAUGG
ensembl:lncRNA novel transcript, antisense to PHLPP1